UGGAGAGAGUGUCUGUCAGUCUCUGCUUUUUCUGGCCGAUUGGAAACCGUGACCCGCCAUCGGAGGGCCCCCCGCCGGCCGGCCUCGUGCCGGUGUUCGGGCGGUGGGCUCCUCCGCCACUGCGGGUUCGCCUCUAGGGCCGGGAGGGCCCGCGCAGGGGUGACCGUGUGUCCCCCUGCGCUCCUCCCUGGUCCGGCCGAUGUGCAGCGAGACCGAGACGCCCCGUCUGCCCUAGCCGUCCUACGACGGAGCC